CGUCUAGGUGGUGUGGUAAGUCGUAGGUGAAAGCCCCGGGCUCAACCUGGGAAGUGCUUACGAAACUACUACACUUGAGGCCGGGAGAGGAGAGCGGAAUUCCUAGUGUAGCGGUGAAAUGCGUAGAUAUUAGGAGGAACACCAGUGGCGAAGGCGGCUCUCUGGACCGGUUCUGACACUGAAGCGCGAAAGCUAGGGGAGCAAAC
rnacentral:rRNA from 1 species